rnacentral:rRNA from 1 species
CUCGCCCAGAGAUGAGGUCCCCCUGCCCCUGAGAGAGCCCGAAAGGAGCGUGAAAGACGACGACGUUGAGAGGCCGGGUGUGUAAGCGCAGCGAUGCGUUGAGCUAACCGGUACUAAUGAACCGUGAGGCUUAACCUUACAACGCCGAAGC